rnacentral:rRNA from 1 species
GAUGAACGCUGGCGGCGUGCCUAAUACAUGCAAGUCGAGCGAACAGACGAGGAGCUUGCUCCUUUGACGUUAGCGGCGGACGGGUGAGUAACACGUAGGUAACCUACCUAUAAGACUGGGAUAACUUCGGGAAACCGGAGCUAAUACCGGAUAAUAUUUCGAACCGCAUGGUUCGAUAGUGAAAGAUGGCUUUGCUAUCACUUAUAGAUGGACCUGCGCCGUAUUAGCUAGUUGGUAAGGUAACGGCUUACCAAGGCAACGAUACGUAGCCGACCUGAGAGGGUGAUCGGCCACACUGGAACUGAAAAACGGUCCAGACUCCUACGGGAGGCAGCAGUAGGGAAUCUUCCGCAAUGGGCGAAAGCCUGACGGAGCAACGCCGCGUGAGUGAUGAAGGUCUUCGGAUCGUAAAACUCUGUUAUUAGGGAAGAACAAACGUGUAAGUAACUGUGCACGUCUUGACGGUACCUAAUCAGAAAGCCACGGCUAACUACGUG